rnacentral:lncRNA from 1 species
CUUUAUGUUCGGUACAGCAUAGCUUCACUGGGAUGAGUUUUGCUGGAGUUAUUAGCAAAAAAUCGAUCGACAAAACCAGACGCGAUUGUGGUAAGUCUUAUAUAUGUAGAUAUAACCUACACUAAACUUAUAUAAUCCCUCGUGGUGAAGUUUUCUUGCAAGCCAUAAAUUCAAAGGAAUCUGUGUUGAUCUGUGCUAGUGCCUAGUGAAAACAAUAAUCAACCAAGGACAAAGGUCAGGAGCCCUAUCUUUCUUAGCAGCCUAAGUGCGCAUAAGUGCAUAUACGAGAGGCGUAUCACCGAAGUCAUCCCCAAAUCCACAAGGGGUAUAAUUCGAUUCCCCCCUCUUCUGCUCCGAAACGCCGAGCAUCGAAAACCUCUGACUUGGGUCAACUUUAGUGAGGCGUAGCAUCCCUUAGGAAGCUCAGCGCGUUAGGCGGCGCCUCGGAACCUUUCACCAGCGCCACUGAGACCACCAGUUUGUCGCGCACUUUAGUGCUUAUGUAAGCGGCAGAUCGACAUCAAGCCGGAUGUUCCACAUUUUAGCCCAGUGUCCAGAGCUAGAACAUUGGGCGUGAUUUUGACGGACCUGACUACAGAGGAGCCACUGCCAACAGCAGGACAGAUGUCCGGAGUUAUGCUGUGUUAAUUUGCACAUUUUCUGGGACUAAGUUCAAUAUGCCAUUUUAAGGCCAAUUCUCUGGCGGUUACGUAUAUGUAUAUUCAAGCAUCGGGAAUCAUGAGUGUUUGUAGAAAAGAGUGGGUUGAAAUAAUAAAUUGAAAUUAUCAAAUCGUACUUGCAGGUACAUUCGUGUGCAUAUAUUGUUAAAACUUUAUAUUUUUCCCCAGAUACCAGCACCUACGUCAUCCUUGAGCUCAACGAUUACGAAAGGAGUAAGGGUAUUAGAAUACCAAAACCAAAAGAAAACUGUGAGUUUGUAAACUUAAAACCAUAUAUGCACAGAGUAUAAACGUAACCUGCGUGUUACUAAAUAUUUAAUCAUAACCGUAAUGGGUUAAUAUAUCUCGCCCCCUUUUAUUCUAUUAC